GCAGANUAGAGUGCAGUAGGGGAGACUGGAAUUCCUGGUGUAGCGGUGAAAUGCGCAGAUAUCAGGAGGNACACCGAUGGNGAAGGCAGGUCUCUGGGCUGUUACUGNCGNUGNGNAGNGAAANGCAUGGGGAGCGAACAGNNNUUAGAUACCCUGGUAGUCCAUNCCGUAAACGNUGGNCNNUAGGUGUGGGGGACAUUCCACGUUUUCCGCGCCGUAGNUAACGCAUUAAGUGCCCCGCCUGGGGAGUACGGCCGCAAGGCUAAAACUCAAAGGAAUUGACGGGGGCCCGCACAAGCGGCGGAGCAUGCGGAUUAAUUCGAUGCAACGCGAAGAACCUUACCAAGGCUUGACAUUCACCGGACCGCCCCAGAGAUGGGGUUUCCCUUCGGGGCUGGUGGACAGGUGGUGCAUGGUUGUCGUCAGCUCGUGUCGUGAGAUGUUGGGUUAAGUCCCGCAACGAGCGCAACCCUCGUUCUAUGUUGCCAGCACGUGAUGGUGGGGACUCAUAGGAGACUGCCGGGGUCAACUCGGAGGAAGGUGGGGAUGACGUCAAAUCAUCAUGCCCCUUAUGUCUUGGGCUUCACGCAUGCUACAAUGGCCGGUACAAAGGGUUGCGAUACUGUGAGGUGGAGCUAAUCCCAAAAAGCCGGUCUCAGUUCGGAUUGAGGUCUGCAACUCGACCUCAUGAAGUCGGAGUCGCUAGUAAUCGCAGAUCAGCAACGCUGCGGUGAAUACGUUCCCGGGCCUUGUACACACCGCNUNNNCANNNNCACGAAAGUUGGUAACACCNGNANCCG
rnacentral:rRNA from 1 species